AGAGGAGAACAGAGAGAAGAGCUGAGCAUACUGCCAACAAGGACUGGAAUCCUUCGGAUACUUCAUGUCUCAGGCCUGGGCACACACUGGCAGAGAGAACGUGCUCCCUCUCUGGCAGCCAGAAAAUCAUGCCAAGCCAACAUGCAUCUUUACAUGGAUUAUGCUCCGUCCCCAGUCUUCACCACACUACCACGAAGCUUUCGAAAUAACCUGUAGCAGUUAGAUACAUCUCCACCUUUUAAUCACAAAAGAGCAACUGGCAGCCAAAAAUGUCAGUUUUUUGGGUUUUGCCGCUCCCUGUCCGUGCCAGUAGAGAAAGCUCUACUAAGAUCACUGGAGAUCUUCGCAGCAGUUGAAGAUGAGUGAACCAG